GUAGGUGUACCCAAGUGGUGAAGGGGAUUGUUUGCUAAACAAUUAGGUCCCGGAAGGGGCGCGGAGGUUCGAACCCUCUCACCUACGCCA
rnacentral:tRNA from 1 species